UUGACCUCGGAUCAGGUAGGGAUACCCGCUGAACUUAAGCAUAUCAAUAAGCGGAAGAAAAGAAACCAACAGGGAUUGCCUUAGUAACGGCGAGUGAAGCGGCAACAGCUCAAAUUUGAAAUCUGGCCUCUUUGGGGUCCGAGUUGUAAUUUGGAGAGGAUGUUUCGGGUACGGUCCGGGCUUAAAUUUCUUGGAACAGAAUGUCACAGAGGGUGAGAAUCCCGUCUGGAGUCUGCGACACGGCCUAUGUGAAACUCCUUCGACGAGUCGAGUUGUUUGGGAAUGCAGCUCUAAAUGGGUGGUAAAUUUCAUCUAAAGCUAAAUAUUGGCCAGAGACCGAUAGCGCACAAGUAGAGUGAUCGAAAGAUGAAAAGCACUUUGAAAAGAGAGUUAAACAGUACGUGAAAUUGUUGAAAGGGAAGCGCUGGCAACCAGACUUGCGCGUCGGGGUUCCCCCUGGCUUCUGCCUGGGCUACUCCCCGGCGCUCAGGCCAACAUCGGUUUUGGGGGUCGGUUAAAGGCCCCGGGAAUGUACCUACCCUUCGGGGUAGACUUAUAGCCCGGGGUGUCAUGCGGCCACCCGGGACCGAGGAACGCGCUUCGGCUCGGAUGUUGGCGUAAUGGUUGUCAGCGACCCGUCUUGAAACACGGACCAAGGAGUCUAACAUCUAUGCGAGUGUUAGGGUGUCAAACCCUUACGCGGAAUGAAAGUGAACGGAGGUAGGAAGCCGUAACACGCUGCACUAUCGACCGAUCCUGAAGUUUACGGAUGGAUUUGAGUAAGAGCAUAGCUGUUGGGACCCGAAAGAUGGUGAACUAUGCCUGAAUAGGGUGAAGCCAGAGGAAACUCUGGUGGAGGCUCGCAGCGGUUCUGACGUGCAAAUCGAUCGUCAAAUUUGGGUAUAGGGGCGAAAGACUAAUCGAACCAUCUGGUAGCUGGUUCCUGCCGAAGUUUCCCUCAGGA
rnacentral:rRNA from 1 species